ensembl:misc_RNA Metazoa_SRP Metazoan signal recognition particle RNA
GCUGGGCAUGGUGGUGCAUGCCUGUAAUCCCAACUACUCAGGAGGCUGAGGCACAAGAAUUGCUUGAACCCAGGAGGUGGAGGUUGCAGUGAGCCAAGAUCGUGCCACUGCAUUCCAGCCUGGGUGACAAAGUGAGACUAUGUCUCCA